AACAAAAAAAAAAAAAACAAAAAACAAUGGUUAUGUUAUGUUUACAGAAAAAAAUUGGGUAGAUAAGUAAGAUAACUGCCAUUUAGAACUAUAUAUAACGGAAUAUAUUGCAUACAUGUCUUUACGUCAAUACUCAUUUUCAACAGUAGGUGUUCACGUUUCAACAAUAAGUUAUUUUAAUAAAAUAAACAAUUUGGUUGACAAUACAAAACAAUUCAUAGUCAAUAGUAUGCUAGAAGGGUUCCGUAGAUUAUCGAAAAGGCAUGACACAAGACACCCGAUAACACAAAAUGUACUGAUACAGCUUUUAUCAGCCCUACCUAACGCUUGCAGAUCACAAUAUGAGUGUUUAAUGUUUUCUGAUGCUUUCUGUCUUGCCUACAUAGGUCUGUUAAGAAUAAGCGAAUUUGCAUUGCCUUCAAAGAAAUCAAAAAAGGUAGUUUUAAAUGUAGAUGAUGUAACGAUCAAUCAAAAUCUCAUUAGACUGUAUUUUAGAUGUCCAAAAACGACCAGAGAUAUGUCGGAUGUUCUAUUGAUAUUCCGAUAACUGACCAAACUCUGUUAUGAAAAACUGAAAGAGUUCUUACAUUUUAGAAGUAACGUGCAAGGGCCGUUAUUCUGCCAUUUCGAUGGAAGUCCCUUAACAUCCUUUCAAUUCAAUUCAGUAUUAAAAAGAACUUUGAACUUGAUAGGUCAAAAAAAAAUUAAAGCACACUCUUUUCGAAUCGGCGGGGCUUCUAAUAUGUUCCGUGAGGUUUGUGCUAUCAAUGAUAUAAAAUACAGAGUCCGUUGGCGAUCUUACGCUUAUAAAUCCUACAUCCGAUAAUUUUAUAGUAUUUCGUGGAAAAAACUUAUUUUUUUAGGAUCUGCCAAAAUGGCUGUAAUGUGAAUGCCGGCGAUCCGAAAUUUGGCUAUUUAAAUAAAGUACGUAUUUGUAUUAAGAAACCGUUACCGGGUCUUAAUACACAUUAAUGUAUUAAGAAGAGCAAUUUAUGCUGUUGUAAUAAAAAGAUGUUAUAUAUAUUGGCAUUAUGUGCCUGGCAUUAUGUGCCUGAUAUUGUUUUUUGAAUGUGUUAAUGUAUAACAAGCAGUUGGCAUUAUGUGCCUGACAUGUGUCUUUUAUAAUUUAUAACACCCAGUUGGCAUUAUGUGCCUGACAUUAUGUGUCUUUUAUAAUUAUAACACCCAGUUGGCAUUAUGUGCCUAACACUAUGUGUCUUUAAUAAUUUAUAAAACCCAGUUGGCAUUAUGUGCCUGAUAUAAUGUGUCUUUUAUAAUUUAUAACACCUAGUUGGCAUUAUGUGCCUGACAUGUGUUUUGAUAACAUUACUUGAUAAUUAUAAAUAUUAAAUGGAUAGGUAAUAUAUAAUUAAACUUAUUUCAGCCUGUAAAAUGUCGGAUGUUUGGAUUAUAGGCUCUUCAUUUAUAAGGGAUGCCUUUCAAACAGCAUGCCGCAGAAGUGAGGACUUAAAUUUCUAGGUUAUAAUGUUAUAUGGGAAUAUCAGGGGGACAUGAAAGUUUCUGAUUUAAAACCUUCGAUAGAAUACUUGCUUGAGUUUAAAAAUGCGCAAAAUGUUUUGAUAUUACACUGUGGCGGGAACGAUUUAGGAAAUCGACCUUCAGUUGAAAUCAUGGGACAUCAAAAACUUUAUAACAAGGACUUCACUGGAAAAAAUACCUGUUACUACAGAUAUUACCAAGAAGGUCAUGGAGAUAUGUCCAAUGUAACAAAACUGCAAAUAAAACCCGCAUGCGUAUAAAUAGUUGUAUCAGUACAUUUGUUAUUAAACUCGGGGGUUAUUAUAUUCGUUACCCUGAUUGACCUUUUCGAGGACCUAGCUGGGCGCCGUUUUCCGGUACGUUGCCGUUUUAGCUCUGGGGAAUUACACCAAAUGAAGUACAUAACACAGUUACGAGAUAUUUCUAUUUUUCUAUCAUUAUUUAACCGUUUAAGGUGAAAAAAAUUGAUGUUUUUAAAAAUUAUCAAUAUUCGUUUAAUAUCUAUUGCAAAUUAUUAAAAAAACAAAACAAAUUGUUUAUAAUGAAAAUCAAUAAAAUUCAAACAGACGUAGUGGAAUCUUCCAUAAUAAAUAAGGUUAUUUUCUGCGUAAACUUGUGUAUUUACUUUAUUUUUUUGUAUGGAAUUAUUCAUACAAUGAUAUUUAAUUAUUUUCUUAUAAAGAAAUAACUGUUUUAUUUCAAUUUAAUUUAAAAAAAAGGCCGAAAACAUUGAGUUCGCUAUUACACUUCAUUGGGUGAAUUCCCCGGGGCUGUGUGCGGAGAGUGCCGGGGCGGCGUUUGGCUGGGUUUUCGAAUUCUUAUAUUAAGGAAAACCCUAGGUUGUAUAGGCCGGAUGGCACACAUCUGUCGGACUUUGGUAACCACGUUUUAUUGAAUACAAUAUCGGGCGCUCUCAACACAUUCACGUCCAUGGCUGGGUAGGGCAAAAUUGUAGCUGUGGUAGCCCGCUUUGGCGGAAGCCCACAGGCAAAUGUUUCACUUUGCUUGUGGGCUUUUUGGCAUGUGCUACCACGUUUUUGCAACCGUUGCCGGGGCAAAAACAGUUAUAGUAAAGACAUUUAGUAGUCUUAAAUCGAAACACAUAGACAUUUCAAUAGGUUAAAUAAUUAAAAUGCUUUUAUCCAGCCAUGGCCAUUUUCAUGCCAACACGUUUUUGUUAAUAAAUACCAGUACGUUUUUUAGACUGAUUUCUCUUUUCUUUUAUUCCCAAGUUGUAAUGUUUGAAUAAUAUUCGAUUUAUCCGCUAGAGGAUUAAAUCUUUUAUUCAAAUCUUACAACUUAACAUUUUUUAUUAUAACACCCCAGUAGGGCCUCAAAAAGAGUUGUCAGGGGAGACAACUUACACUUGAAUAUGUCAUAUAUAAGGCAGAGCAAAUUCUGGGAACGGUCUGUCAAUCGUGGCUCACCAUAGAAGAGAUAACACUAUAUUAGCACGUCAUGGCUGGAACAGAAAGAUAUAGAAAAAGGAGAAUGCUUAUAAUUCUCAGCGACCGUUAUCGGAGCUGAUCAAUUUGUAAAACAGACAUGUAAAGUGAUUUCAUCAUCUGUACCUGUGUACCUUGAGUUGAAGCAUGUGCUACCACGUUUUUGCAACCGUUGCCGGGGCAAAAACAGUUAUAGUAAAGACAUUUAGUAGUCUUAAAUCGAAACACAUAGACAUUUCAAUAGGUUAAAUAAUUAAAAUGCUUUUAUCCAGCCAUGGCCAUUUUCAUGCCAACACGUUUUUUGUUAAUAAAUACCAGUACGUUUUUUAGA